GUAGGGAAUCUUCCACAAUGGACGAAAGUCUGAUGGAGCAACGCCGCGUGAGUGAAGAAGGUUUUCGGAUCGUAAAGCUCUUUCGUUAGGGACGAACGUGCUCUUUGUGAAUAAUGAGGAGUAAUGACGGUACCUAAAUAAGAAGCCACGGCUAACUACGUGCCAGCAGCCGCGGUAAUACGUAGGUGGCAAGCGUUGUCCGGAAUUAUUGGGCGUAAAGCGCGCGCAGGCGGGAUAUCAAGUCUGUCUUAAAAGUGCGAGGCUCAACCUCGUGAGGGGACAGAAACUGGUAUUCUUGAGUGUCGGAGAGGAAAGUGGAAUUCCAAGUGUAGCGGUGAAAUGCGUAGAGAUUUGGAAGAACACCAGUGGCGAAGGCGACUUUCUGGACGAUGUCUGACGCUGAGGCGCGAAAGCUAGGGGAGCGAACGGGAUUAGAUACCCGAGUAGUCC
rnacentral:rRNA from 1 species